UGGUCUUGAACUCCUUGAUGUUCCUGCCUCCACCUUCCAAGUGCUGAGACAGAGGGAUGGCCACCAGGCUGAGCUCUCCUGCUUGCUUUUCAUUGUGAAAUCAAAUUAACCUCCGUCAAACUUAGAGGAUCUAGACUUCUUCCCCAUUGUUCACGUCUGUUUUUUUUCUUUCUUCUUUUCCUAGCAGGUUUUAUAACUUUGACCCCAUGUCUCAGGUCACUGCUCACUCAGAGAUUCUGAGAAAACCAGUAUUAUCUCAGCCACGAAGGUGUUUGUUCCUCUCACAAUCUGGCGCUUGGAAAGCAAAUGGAGAAGAUCCCACAGAACAGUUUUUGGCCAGCAAGAAAUCAGUUGAGUAGGCAGGAUAAAGAGAGAACGAACAAACGGAGCCAGGAACAUCACAACGGAGCUCAGCCAAGGCUCAGCUCUCCAAGCAGCUGCCAAACCCUUUCCCAGCUGAAUGAAGAUUUCACGUUUUUUGCCUCCGCUUAUGGGGAGAAACAUGGGGGAAGGUCCAGCUCUAUUUAUUACCAUCAUUUGACUGUUGGCUCCAUUAACAUCAAGAGGUUUGAGUCCAACCACACUGACUUCCUGGACACUGUGGAGUGGGCUGCUCUGCUAUGAAAUGAGACCAUCAACCAUCUUGCCCUCCAGGAUGUCAACAAUAACAAGGAAAGUCACCACUGAUAGGAACAGUCAGUUUCCAUAUAUCCUUAUCCAAAAUGUGAUGUGCAGCGUGCACUGUCCCUGGAAAAAUAAUGAGAAAUAUGACCUGCUAA